rnacentral:lncRNA from 1 species
UUGCUGAUUUUGUAGGCCUUGAUCCCAGAAUUGCCGCAUGGCUCAUAGAUCCCAGUGAUGGCACACCUUCUUUUGAGGACUUAGUGGCAAAACACCUUGAAAAGUCCUUUUCAGUCAAAGUGAGCAGCACAUGUGGCAAUUCCUCAAGUAAUAUUAAGGUUCAUGGUUUAUGGCAACUAUUUUGUACUUUGGAAAUUCCUCUGAUUCCAAUUUUGGCAGUGAUGGAAAACCACAAGAUUCAGGUGAACAAGGAAGAAAUGGAAAGGACAUCCAUACUUCUUGGGGCUCGUCUCAAGGAACUGGAGCAGGAAGCCCAUUUUAUUGCAGGAGAACGGUUUCUUAUAAUGAGUAAUAAUCAACUUCGAGAAAUCCUCUUUGGAAAGCUGAAGCUACACCUGCUGAGUCCAAGGAAGAGCCUUCCCAAAACAGGGCCACAGCAACACCUAUCCACUUCAGAGGCUGUGUUAAGUUCUCUGCAAGACCUUCAUCCCUUACCCAAGACAAUUUUGGAAUACAGGCAGGUAAGUUGACUCUUUAAAAGUUUUGUGUGAUGGGGGAAGAACCAGGCCCUCUCUCUAUGAACAAAUUCACGUUUGCUGAAGUGUGCUGGCAGUGUUACAAGAGGCUGUGGUUCUCUCACACUGGCCUUGUGUUAGCACCC